rnacentral:rRNA from 1 species
AUUAGUUUUUGUUUAUUAAUUUAUUUAUGUUUUUUAAUUAAUGUAUUAAAAAUAAUUAUAUAGUUAAGUGUUUUAGUAAUUUUUAAUGAAAAAAUAAUAUUAAUAAUAGUUGAUUAGUAUUGUGAAAGAUGGUUGAAAUAUUUUGAAAAAUUUUUGUAAAAAAAGAAAAUUUAGUUUAUUGUACCUUGUGUAUCAGGGUCUAUUAAAUAAUUAAUAUUAAUAAUAUUAAUCUCGAUUUUAUAAGAGUUAAUAAUUUAUGAAAGUUAAUGUGUCAAAAUUAUUUUGAAUAAGUUAUUAGAAAUGAAAUGUUAUUCGUUUAUAAAGGUAUCUAGUUUUUUUAGAAAUAAAUUUAAUUUACAAAUUUUUGAUUUUUUAAUUAUUUAUUUAAUUGAAAAAUUUAUUUAUUUGAAUAUUUUAAGGGAUAAGCUUUAAGAUAAAUUAUUAAAAAUUAAUAGAAUGGUGUAUAAAAUGUAGGCUUAGAAUUAGCAAUCGUUGUAAAGUUUGUUAUAAUUUAUUUUAUAAAUUAUAUUAUUUAUUAUAUUUUAAUUUAUUUAUAAAAAUUUUUUUAUUAAUGGAGUAUAGAAAGGAAUAAUGAUAGAAUUAGUAUAUUUAUUUGUAAAUAUAAUUUUUUAUAUGACAAGUUUAUGUAAAGAACUCGGCAAAGAUUUUACUCGCCUGUUUAACAAAAACAUGUCUUUUUGAGUUAUUUUAAAAGUCUGACCUGCCCACUGAAUUUAUUUAAAUGGCCGCAGUAUUUUAACUGUGCAAAGGUAGCAUAAUCAUUAGUCUUUUAAUUGAAGGCUGGUAUGAACGGUUGGACGAAGUAUAAGCUGUUUCAUGUAAAUUUAUAAUAGAAUUUUAUAUUUUAGUUAAAAAGCUAAGAUGUAAUUAAAAGACGAGAAGACCCUAUAAAUCUUUAUAUUUUAUGUUAUUUAAGUUUUAUGGAUUUUUUUUAUUUUUUUAAUUUAAAAUAUUUUGUUGGGGUGAUAUUAAAAUUUAAUUAACUUUUAAUUAUUUAAAAUCAUUAAUUUAUGAAUUAUUGAUCCGUUAAUAGCGAUUAUAAGAUUAAGUUACUUUAGGGAUGGACAGCGUAAUUUUUUUGGAGAGUUCUUAUCGAUAAAAAAGUUUGCGACCUCGAUGUUGGAUUAAGAUAUAUUUUAGGUGUAGCC